GUCUCCUCUUUACAUCUGUGGCCUAAACCACUGAUUGACACCAUCAUUUUGCCAAACAGUCUCCCCCUGGCCUAUCCCUGCCCAGUAUGAGGACCACGACCCACAGCCCCCUCCCCGACAGGAAGACUUCACAUGGGAGCAGGAAUCUGUGAGGAUGUAAUGCAGCGUUUGGGAUGAGAACAAUGCAAAGCAUCAUCUGCAGACCUGGUUAACACAACUCAUUUCCUGAAGUCCAAGAAAGGCCGAUAAAGAGCAAAGUGGAGCCAACCUUCAGUGAAAGUUAUGUCCAGCUGAUCAGUGUGUAAGUAUUUAUUUUAUGUGGAUCUGAAUGUUGGAUCCGUGAUGAUCUCCCAGCACAGUCUGAUCAACCGGACAAGCUGGAAGUGAUUAACAUGUCCAGGUUCAAUCCAGGACUGGUCUGAACCUGGUGGAUCCACCUCCUGCAUCAGGGAACUGCAAACCCAGAGCGGGACGUAGGAGGACAGAACCACUCCUGUAGACCUGGAACAGCUCAAGUCUCACACUG